UACACUACAGACACAUGGGGAAAG
rnacentral:piRNA from 1 species